AGUCUAUUUCAACCACUUAGUUAGGCGGAGCUUCCUUUUUCUUACAUUGGAAAGGACACCCAGCUCACCGGGUUACUUAAGAAUCAGUGAGAUAUCAAGUGCCAUGAAAGCACUAAUGGUAAAAGACUGUUCUUUUACAUGGGACAAAGGUCAGAAGCCCUUGAUUUGCAUUUCCUCCCCGAUGCCACUUGGAGUGGAGCCUCUGGUCUAUGUCCCCUGAAGCGAACCAGGCGCGCUCCCGUUAGAUGUGCUGGGGACUCCCAAGCGCCUCUCCUUCCAGCUGCUAAGCAGCUUCCCAUCCUUUACCCCCACCUGUGUUCCAGGAUCACCAUUCCUUCAGCUGCGGCACAUUUUUAAGUUGAUGAGCAACCAUUUUUGUAAAAUUUCAAUAAUAAUUUUCCCCUCAAGCCAUUCGGACUUGAAACCUGAGCCUUGGCUUCCAAUUCUAUCACCCUGGGUCCUAUUAUCGGUCACCAAGUUCUGCUUUUCCCACUAAAAUCUUCCUCUUAUUUUUCUCUAUUUCUUUCUCUGCAUAUUAAGUUCCUCCAUAUUACUGCUCUUUUCUCUCCUCCAGCCAUACUGGCUGCUAGGCUGAAUUUCAGAAGAUACUUUCAACAUGACAUAUCCCUUCUAUUUGAUAAGAUGGCCUUCAGGGCCCUCCACUGUCUCCAGCUACCUUUCUCGAGUCAUCUAUCCUUCCCUGGCCUUCUCACACAGCAGCUGCUGUGGUCUCACCUCCACUGAAAUGCCACCUGGAUGACAGGGAGUUGUGCGUGUGUGAGGUGCUAUGAGUGUGUCCUGCCUGAUGUGCCAGGGCAGGGACUCUGCCUCAGACAACCCUUGGAUCCUAGAGCUGAAUGACAAUGAAUGAACUCCUCCUGAGAGUCCCACCUCCUAUUAUUUUUCAAGACAGAAAGAUAAAACUUGAACAAAAUUUAUUGGUUUUCCUUGAUUGCCUCUGGUUUAGCUUGGGAAGAGCUUAUUUGGUUCAUCUGGCGUUGUUUCUGGGCAGCUGCUGCUGCUUUUAAGGCCCUUUUUUGCUUCUUUAGCUUUUGAGCCUCCUGGUAAACCUGGAGAUGACAGAGAAAAGACUUUGUAAUUCUAUGCAAAACCUAUGACUGGGAGCAAAUGUGCUGCGAACUGCCUUCCCCAGCUGGUCAACACGGCCUUUCUCCAUGGGGUUAAGGCCUUGGCACCAGUUCCAUGCCUUUAUCAGAAAGAGACAACCCCUCCUUUCUGCCUUUUCCACCACAGUCCCAGAACCGACCAACCAAAGCAGCAAUCUGGACUCAUACCCGAAUGCACAAAGCCUUCUUGGCCACCCAGCGGCGGUGGGCUCUUCGGUAGUACAUAGGGGGGAAGAUGUACUCAAUCCCCAGGUCCUUGCAUGUCUUCUCAAAGACUUUGUAGUUGGUCUUACGGAGGUUUUUGAGCAUCUUUUGCCUCUGGUCAAUGCUCAUCAUCAGAUAGCGCUUGUGAGCUUUGUCCUGUAAGAAGGUUGGUAUCCCUUUCAGUAUUAUAUAAAUAAGUAGUGUGCCACUUUAUAGUAAUAAAGGAUAGUAGUUUAUCUCACUGAAGUCUCCCAACAAUCUCCUGCAAAUACUAGUGUAACUCUGAGGUAGGUAUUAUUACUGAUAGUCCCAUUUUACAGAUGGGAAAAUAAAGGCUCAACAAUGUUAUCAAGUCUUGAAUACUGGUAUACUCGUCUCACUCUAAAUCUCAUGCUCUUUCCCUACAUUACACGACUCUCUCAGCCUCUCCACAGCUCAGCAAACUUUCAGAUGGAGUGUAGAGGAGGGAAGAACUUUCACUUUUCUCGGAGACCCCUACCCACAGCCAGGUACUGCUCCAUGAGAAAAUUUGGUGUUCCACA